CUUAUCCAUUUCAAUUCAAUUUGAAGAAUGCACGGAGAAGGCAGAGGAAAUGAAACGCGAAGAAGAAAAGAAAAACAAAAAAAAAUUUUAAUCGAAUUUAUUAAAAGUCUAAUUCAGAUACGAUACUGGAAUCGGAAAAAGGACUUUAAGAGUUAGGAUUAUUGACGUUUUGACGAAUUUCAGGUAAUCCUAAUGAUAUAUGACUUGGUGGACAGACUGGAGUAGCCAUGACGCUCUUACAGGCAUUUUGAGUUACCGUGUACAUAGAUGACGACCUGCGGGCAGGACCGUGGCUUGACCGUGGCUUGUUUUGCUUUCGUUGUGCUAUAUUACGUCUGUUUUAGAAGUUGUAUGGUAUUAUUAUAAAUAGUAUGUCGAUUGUGUAGUUUUUGAUAUGGUUUGAGAUCCUUUUGGUUAAUAUUAAUAGGUUACUGUUGAGUUAUGUUAUGUUUUGCUGAAAACAAAAAUUUAUAACAGGUGAACAGGUUGUUAUAGAUGUAAGUAAUUAAGAUGGA